rnacentral:rRNA from 1 species
UACGAAGGGGGCUAGCGUUGCUCGGAAUCACUGGGCGUAAAGGGCGCGUAGGCGGCGUUUUAAGUCGGGGGUGGAAGCCUGUGGCUCAACCACAGAAUGGCCUUCGAUACUGGGACGCUUGAGUAUGGUAGAGGUUGGUGGAACUGCGAGUGUAGAGGUGAAAUUCGUAGAUAUUCGCAAGAACACCGGUGGCGAAGGCGGCCAACUGGACCAUUACUGACGCUGAGGCGCGAAAGCCAGGGGAGCAAACGGG